AUUGAACGCUGGCGGCAGGCCUAACACAUGCAAGUCGAGCGGAGAGGCGGACGGGGGAGUAAUGCCUAGGAAUCAGCCAGGGAGUGGGGGAUAACGUCAGGAAACGGGCGCUAAUAACGCAUAAUAUCAGAUGAGCCUAGGACGGAUUAGCUAGUUGGUGGGGUAAAGGCCUACCAAGGCGACGCUCCGUAACUGGUCUGAGAUAAUGAUCAGUCACACUGGAACGUAGACACGGUCCAGACUCCUCCGGAAGGCAGCAGUGGGGAAUAUUGGACAAUUGGCGAAAGCCUGAUCCAGCCAUGCCGCGUGUGUGAAGAAGGUCUUCGGAUUGUAAAGCACUUUAAGUUGGGAGGCGUUACCAACAGAAUAAGCACCGGCUAACUUCGUGCCAGCAGCCGCGGUAAUAC
rnacentral:rRNA from 1 species